rnacentral:rRNA from 1 species
CCUACGGGUGACAGCAGUAGGGAAUAUUGCUCAAUGGGGGGAACCCUGAAGCAGCAACGCCGCGUGGAGGAUGAAGGUUUUCGGAUUGUAAACUCCUUUUGUUAGAGAAGAGAAUGACGGUAUCUAACGAAUAAGCACCGGCUAACACCGUGCCAGCAGCCGCGGUAAUACGUAGGGGGCAAGCGUUACUCGGAAUCACUGGGCGUAAAGAGGGCGUAGGCGGGAUCGCAAGUCAGAUGUGAAAUCCUAUGGCUUAACCCUAGAACUGCAUUUGAAACUGUUAUUCUAGAGUAUGGGAGAGGUAGGUGGAAUUCUUGGUGUAGCGGUGAAAUCCGUAGAGAUCAAGAGGAAUACUCAUUGCGAAGGCGACCUGCUAGAACAUAACUGACGCUGAUGCGCGAAAGCGUGGGGAGCAAACAGGAUUAGAUACCCCAGUAGUC